CUUAGAGGUUCCCGGGUUCUUUCUAACACAUCAUACCAGUGGGAAGCAAUUGCUACCAAUUUUGAUGAGUUUCAAGAUGUUUCUGAGAAACUUUUCUCCAGUAAAAACAGAACGGAGGCUUCUGUAGGAAAAAAGCUGAAGAUAGAUAUGCUUGCUGAAAUUGAGAAAGUUCACAAG